rnacentral:antisense_RNA from 1 species
CUUCAUCGAGCCCAGCCACAGCGGCUGUUCACGGUCCUGGCCGUAUGUGGCGAUCAGAGCGUUGGCCUC